rnacentral:rRNA from 1 species
GGAAUUUUGGACAAUGGGCGCAAGCCUGAUCCAGCAAUGCCGCGUGAGUGAAGAAGGCCUUCGGGUUGUAAAGCUCUUUUGUCAGGGAAGAAACGGGUCUUUCUAAUACAGAGGCCUAAUGACGGUACCUGAAGAAUAAGCACCGGCUAACUACGUGCCAGCAGCCGCGGUAAUACGUAGGGUGCAAGCGUUAAUCGGAAUUACUGGGCGUAAAGCGUGCGCAGGCGGUUUUGUAAGACUGUCGUGAAAUCCCCGGGCUCAACCUGGGAAUGGCGAUGGUGACUGCAAGGCUAGAGUUUGGCAGAGGGGGGUAGAAUUCCACGUGUAGCAGUGAAAUGCGUAGAUAUGUGGAGGAACACCGAUGGCGAAGGCAGCCCCCUGGGUCAAAACUGACGCUCAUGCACGAAAGCGUGGGGAGCAAACAGGAUUAGAUACCCCGG